rnacentral:rRNA from 1 species
UACGUAGGGUGCAAGCGUUAAUCGGAAUUACUGGGCGUAAAGCGUGCGCAGGCGGUUGUGCAAGACCGAUGUGAAAUCCCCGGGCUUAACCUGGGAAUGGCAUUGGUGACUGCACGGCUAGAGUGUGUCAGAGGGGGGUAGAAUUCCACGUGUAGCAGUGAAAUGCGUAGAGAUGUGGAGGAAUACCGAUGGCGAAGGCAGCCCCCUGGGCUAACACUGACGCUCAUGCACGAAAGCGUGGGGAGCAAACAGG